GAGUUUGAUCCUGGCUCAGGAUGAACGCCGGCGGUGUGCCUAAUACAUGCAAGUCGAGCGCACUGGCCCAACUGAUAUGACGUGCUUGCACUGAUUUGACGUUGGAUUCCCAGUGAGCGGCGGACGGGUGAGUAACACGUGGGCAACCUGCCCUGAAGCGGGGGAUAACAUCUGGAAACAGGUGCUAAUACCGCAUAACAACGAAAACCACAUGGUUUUCGUUUCAAAGAUGGUUUCGGCUAUCACUUCAGGAUGGGCCCGCGGUGCAUUAGCUAGUUGGUAAGGUAACGGCUUACCAAGGCGAUGAUGCAUAGCCGAGUUGAGAGACUGAUCGGCCACAAUGGAACUGAGACACGGUCCAUACUCCUACGGGAGGCAGCAGUAGGGAAUCUUCCACAAUGGGCGCAAGCCUGAUGGAGCAACACAGCGUGAGUGAAGAAGGGUUUCGGCUCGUAAAGCUCUGUUGUUGGAGAAGAACGUGUGUGAGAGUAACUGUUCACGCAGUGACGGUAUCCAACCAGAAAGUCACGGCUAACUACGUGCCAGCAGCCGCGGUAAUACGUAGGUGGCAAGCGUUAUCCGGAUUUAUUGGGCGUAAAGCGAGCGCAGGCGGUUGCUUAGGUCUGAUGUGAAAGCCUUCGGCUUAACCGAAGAAGUGCAUCGGAAACCGGGCGACUUGAGUGCAGAAGAGGACAGUGGAACUCCAUGUGUAGCGGUGAAAUGCGUAGA
rnacentral:rRNA from 1 species